UUUGGUGNUAGCGGGUGGUGCCCNUUUUUGGGUGGAANUCUGUGGGGCCAUUAAGCUUGUUUUGCCAGGGGAAAAUUCAUCGUUUACUGUGAAAAGAUUUAGAGUGUUCAAAAGCCAGGCUUAUGCCCAAUGAAUAUGCUAGCCAUGGAAUAAUGAAAUAGGACUUUUGGUGCUAUUUUGUUGGUUUGCGCGCCAAAGUAAUGAUUAAUAGGGACCAGUUGGGGGUAUUCGUAUUCCAUAGUCAGAGGUGAAAUUCUUGGAUUUUUGGAAGACGAACUACUGCGAAAGCAUUUACCAAGGAUGUUUUCAUUAAUCAAGAACGAAAGUUAGGGGAUCGAAGAUGAUAUGAUACCCAUCGUAGUUCUUAACCAUAAACUAUGCCCAGUUAGGGAUUGGCCAGGGUAUCGUUACGUCCCUGUCAGCCACCCUUAUGAGAAAUCCAUUAAACCUUUGGGUUCCGGGGGGAGUAUGGUCGCAAGGCUGAAACUUAAAGAAAUUGACGGAAGGCCCCCUCCCAGGA
rnacentral:rRNA from 1 species